rnacentral:rRNA from 1 species
AUUGAACGAUGGCGGAAUGCUUUACACAUGCAAGUCGAACGGCAGCACGGACUUCGGUCUGGUGGCGAGUGGCGAACGGGUGAGUAAUACAUCGGAACGUGCCCAGUCGUGGGGGAUAACGUAGCGAAAGCUACGCUAAUACCGCAUACGAUCUACGGAUGAAAGCGGGGGAUCGCAAGACCUCGCGCGAUUGGAGCGGCCGAUGGCAGAUUAGGUAGUUGGUGGGGUAAAGGCUCACCAAGCCGACGAUCUGUAGCUGGUCUGAGAGGACGACCAGCCACACUGGGACUGAGACACGGCCCAGACUCCUACGGGAGGCAGCAGUGGGGAAUUUUGGACAAUGGGCGCAAGCCUGAUCCAGCCAUUCCGCGUGCAGGAUGAAGGCCCUCGGGUUGUAAACUGCUUUUGUACGGAACGAAAGGGCUCUGGUUAAUACCCGGGGCUCAUGACGGUACCGUAAGAAUAAGCACCGGCUAACUACGUGCCAGCAGCCGCAGUAACAC